GCCGGAUGUGGUGGCGUGCAUCUGUAAUCCCAGCUACUAGGGAGGCUGAGGCGGGAGAAUUGCUUGAACCCAGGAGAUGGAGAUUGCAGUGAGCUGAGAUCACGCCAUUGCAUUCCAGCCUGGGUGACACAGCAAGCUUCCGUCUUAA
ensembl:misc_RNA Metazoa_SRP Metazoan signal recognition particle RNA